CUUGAGUACCUCAUGGGCCUCCUCAAGGGUAAAGGAGCAAACAGAGUGAACCCGAGGUACGGCCUACAAUUCCAGCAGCCUUGUUUUGGUGUGCUACAUAAACAAAGGAAGGAAAACUGAAGCCCAGAGAAGUUGAUCAAUCUGCCCAGGGACACGCAGCGACAGAGGAGGUGAAGGUUUUCUCCUUGGAACAUUGAAGAGGAAAUAUGCGUUAGAAAUACGUCAAGUCAUGGGGCGCCUGGGUGGUUCACUCAGUUAAGCGUCUGACUAUGGCUCAGGUCAUGAUUUCAUGGUUCGUGGGUUCGAGCCCCAUGUCG